rnacentral:rRNA from 1 species
CCUACGGGUGGCAGCAGUGGGGAAUAUUGCACAAUGGGGGAAACCCUGAUGCAGCGAAGCCGCGUGAGAGAUGAAGUAUUUCGGUAUGUAAAGCUCUAUUAACAGGGAAGAAAAUGACGGUACCUGACUAAGAAGCCCCGGCUAACUACGUGCAGGCGCCCGUGGGAAUACGUCGGGGGCAAGCGUGAUCCGGAGUUACUGGGCGUUAAGGGAGCGUAGACGGAUUAGCAAGUCUGAUGUUAAAACCCGGGGUUCAACUCCGGGAGUGCAUGUGAAACUGUUGAUCUAGAGUGUCGGAGAGGCAAGCGGAAUUACUAGGGUAGCGGUGAAAUGCGUAGAUAUUAGGAGGAACACCAGUGGCGAAGGCGGCUUGCUAGACGAUGACUGACGUUGAGGCACGAAAGCGUGGGGAGCAAACAGGAUUAGAUACCCCUGUAGUC